CCUACGGGAGGCAGCAGUGAGGAAUAUUGGUCAAUGGACGCGAGCCUGAACCAGCCAAGCAGCGUGCAGGAUGACUGCCCUACGGGUUGUAAACUUCUUUUAUAAAGGAGUAAACUGAGGCACGUGUGCCUUUUUGAAAGUACUGUAUGAAUAAGGAUCGGCUAACUCCGUGCCAGCAGCCGCGGUAAUACGGAGGAUCCGAGCGUUAUCCGGAUUUAUUGGGUUUAAAGGGAGCGUAGGUGGUUUGUUAAGUCAGUGGUGAAAGUCUGCGGCUCAACCUUAAAAUUGCCAUUGAUACUGGCAGGCUUGAGUACAGUUGAGGUAGGCGGAAUGCAUGGUGUAGCGGUGAAAUGCUUAGAGAUCACGCAGAACUCCGAUUGCGAAGGCAGCUUACCAAGCUGCCACUGACAUUGAGGCUCGAAAGUGUGGGGAGCAAACAGGAUUAGAUACCCUUGUAGUC
rnacentral:rRNA from 1 species